rnacentral:rRNA from 1 species
CGACCGGCGCACGGGUGAGUAACGCGUAUGCGACCUGCCCGUUGCAGGGGGGAUAAUCGGGAGAAAUCCCGUCUAAUACCGCGUAACGCCGCGGGGCUGCAUGGCCCUGCGGCCAAAGGGAGCGAUUCCGGCAACGGAUGGGCAUGCGUGACAUUAGCUAGUUGGCGGGGUAACGGCCCACCAAGGCGACGAUGCGUAGGGGUUCUGAGAGGAAGGUCCCCCACACUGGUACUGAGACACGGACCAGACUCCUACGGGAGGCAGCAG